CUGACUGUGCUAAGGUAGCGUAAUCNGUUGGCUUUUAAAUGGAGUCGAGUAUGAAUGGGUCUACGGAAACAAGCUGUCUCUUUUUGGUUAUAUUGAAGUUUCUUUAAGGGUGCAAAGUCCCUUGAUUAGAAAAAAGACGAGAAGACCCUUAGAGUUUUUAUUAAAGAUAAGAAUUUAUUUAAGUUUUUGCUGGGGCGGCAAAGAGACAAAGCAAUUAAACUCUCUUUUUAUUGUUUUUAGAAGACGAAAAUGUUAAGAAUCAUUAAACUACCUUAGGGAUAACAGCAUAAUUAAAUUUUAGUUUGUGACCUCGAUGUUGGACUAGGAAGGCUUUUGACCAGCAGUCAAAAAGUGUGGUUCUGUUCGAACUGA
rnacentral:rRNA from 1 species